rnacentral:rRNA from 1 species
AUGUUGAAGGGUCCAUCUCUCCUUCCUGCGAUGUUGGUUCAAGCAAGUGUUUUGGUUUCCUCGUCUUCGAAUCCUGAGCUGGCGACAUUUGGGAUUGUCCAGUCAAAGACCAAGGCGAAAUCCUUGCUCAGCUUGCUGUUGCUGGCAGCGGCGACACAUGCGGGUGCCGUGUCCUUCUUGAAGGCGCUGCCAUGUCUUUUGUCUGUGUUCCACUUCGCGCACCGGGGGAAACCCCUAGUCUGGUUCACCAGAUUGGACAGCGGCGGCGUCCCGAUGUCGUAUCCUUCAUGA